rnacentral:rRNA from 1 species
UGCACAUCUUGACGGUACCUAACCAGAAAGCCACGGCUAACUACGUGCCAGCAGCCGCGGUAAUACGUAGGUGGCAAGCGUUAUCCGGAAUUAUUGGGCGUAAAGCGCGCGUAGGCGGUGUUUUAAGUCUGAUGUGAAAGCCCACGGCUCAACCGUGGAGGGUCAUUGGAAACUGGAAAACUUGAGUGCAGAAGAGGAAAGUGGAAUUCCAUGUGUAGCGGUGAAAUGCGCAGAGAUAUGGAGGAAC